AUUGAACGCUAGCGGGAUGCCUUACACAUGCAAGUCGAACGAGUGGCGGACGGGUGAGUAAUGUAUCGGGACCUGCCCAGUAGCGGGGGAUAACUACUCGAAAGCGUGGCUAAUACCGCAUACUAUCGGAGCGGCCCAUAUCGGAUUAGCUAGUCGGUGGGGUAAAGGCUCACCAAGGCGACGAUCCGUAGCUGGUUUGAGAGGACGACCAGCCACACUGGGACUGAGACACGGCCCAGACUCCUACGGGAGGCAGCAGUGGGGAAGUUUGGACAAUGGGCGAAACCCUGAUCCAGCCAUCCCGCGUGUAUGAGAAGGCCCUAGGGUUGUAAAGUACUUUCAGUCGGGAGGCGUUACCGGCAGAAGAAGCACCGGCUAACUCCGUGCCAGCAGCCGCGGUAAUAC
rnacentral:rRNA from 1 species